GGAACUUUAUCUCCCGCCCCAUGCUGGAACUUCCAGCUGUAGGUCUGAAUUCUAAUAAGGGCUUUGCUCCUGCCUCUGAGGUUAUGGUAAUAUUUUAUCCAUCUUCUUUCGUGAAGACACAGUCAUGGCCGCUAUUGGGCACUGGAGGCCAGUCCUGAGGAGUGAGAAUCAUCAACAGCUGAGUCGGGCGAUGUGCUCAGAAUUUGCAUUUGAGGCCCUCGGGUUCCUCUUCACUUCCGUAUUUGCAGGCACGAAAAGGAGGGGGCUGUCAUCUUCACAUUCAGACCUGGGGUGGAGGCGUGGCGAGGAUACACUGAUGCUAAGACCAGUCACCAUCGAAUGCACAGGAGCCUGAAAGUCACUCCGAAGUCUACAGGAACAGUCAAAUGUUCAUAAUGGAAUGGGAGCAUGUGUGCAUAUACUGUUUGCAUAUUUUAUCAUGCAACGUUAUCAGGUUCCCAAGACCUGAUAUAAUAAAGUAAACCACUUUAUUUACUUCUUAGGAUUUACUGAUGGAAACAGUUGUAAAUGUGGUCUUCUCCAAAUUCACAUUUGGCAAAGGUUAUAUGAAGCAACUUGUGCCCUCCUGGCAAAUCCCCUGUGACAUGGUGACCCUGGGGGAGCCUAGCCUCUGGGAAGAGAAAGAGCCGGGAUUGUGUGCAUUUCUGUGUGGGUGUGGGUGUGUGCGUGUGUGUGCAGAUGCAUAAUUACCUCUUCACUCACACUAAGGGUGUGGAGAUGAACUUGGACAAUUUUUUCCUUUUCGUCUACAAACAGGAAUGGGCCACAUUCCUGUCUGGAAGCUGGGCAUCUUGCCCUGUGUGAUGGUCUCGCUACCAGAUAAACCCAGCAGGAUAAGACAUUCUUUGAGGGAAAAAAAACUGACCUGUAAGUAUUGCAUCGAGUUUAUUUCCUGGGAGAAGAGCCUCCCUGCCAGCCUCUACCUACUGCUUUAAGAAGCACCCUGACCCCAUAACUAGGUGAUCCUGAUUCACUUUUGAAUUGAAAGCCUUGACUAGUUGAUUUAUGCUUUAGGGUCUUGGAAUUCUAGAGGUGGAUUGCCUCAUCCUCUAUCUUCUAAAAUAUUGGAACAGCUUAUCUGUUCCUGAAAACUCAGUAUUUACUGAGCUUCGUGUCUCCGUGUACUGGCAGGUCACUGGAAUACACAGAAAAGUGUCUCCUCAGAGGAUCCCCUCCAAAGCAGGGAGGCUCUCACUGAACCUUCCAUCCUAGUGCGGAACUGCAGCUCCAAACAGCAGGAAUGGGUCCUUUCAGGAUGACUGUGCCCUGAUCAAGAAGUAUCUCCUUUAAUGACUAAGUCAACUUCGGAAAUCCACGGAAUUGAGGAACUAUUAGCACCACAGCAGCUUUUCAACCCGCACCACCCUCUCAAGAAUCUGAAAGACGAUUGCCACUGUUUGAAACUAAAGAUGCGUCAAACUUUGACCUCCCUUCAGGAUGAAAAGAAUUAACUGACUCCUUUCUCCCUCGUAAAUGUGGAAAGGCAAUGAAUAAAGACCAGGGGAGAGAAAACCUUUUUAUUCCCCCACCCUCUCAUCAAUUCCCAUGUAACACCCUUUCGAUCCUACCACGUGUAGAGUCUUGAAGUGGUGAGCAUGUGAAAAUGGCACAUGGGCAUCCAUGGCAUGUGGUCUGGGCCUCGGCGACAAGCCGUGGCAACCAUAACAUUGUCAGACUCAAGGUCAGCAAUCACGAAACUCUUUGUUGACUUUUUCUUCAGAAUUUCUGAUUCUAAACUGGGCAAUUACAUAAAUGAUUUUUGAUUUUGAAAUCUCACUUGUGCAUAAAGAAUAACAUAUGUGAAGCGUCACACAUUUUGUGUCGUGCCAUGACACCAGUAUGGACCUCUUAAUUCCCUAGUAUUUCUGUUAUGAUGAAAAUGAUCACAAAUCCUUCCUCUCUUUGAGAACAUGCACACCAGUGUGAACAUAUUAUGUUCAUUAACUCUACAGUAAGGGGUAAGGCCUUUAGAGCAGAAUGGAAAAAAAAAUUAAAGUUUGCAAAC